rfam:Oryza rufipogon genomic scaffold, chr01
AAUAGAUGACACCGUUGACUUUUUCUCACAUGUUUGACCAUUCGUCUUAUUCAAAAUAUUUACGGAAUUAUAAUUUAUUUUGUUAUGAAUUGUUUUAUCGUACUUUAAGUGUGAUUUAUAUCUUAUAUAUUUGCAUAAAAUUUUUGAAUAAGACGAAUGGUCAAAUAUGUGAGAAAAAGUCAAUGGCGUCAUCUAUU